CAGCAGCCACGGUAAUACGAAGGUCCCGAGCGUUGUUCGGAAUCACUGGGCGUAAAGGGAGCGUAGGCGGCGUGGUAAGUCAGAUGUGAAAUCCCGGGGCUCAACCCCGGAACUGCAUCCGAUACUGCCGUGCUAGAGGAUUGGAGAGGUAGCUGGAAUUCUUGGUGUAGCAGUGAAAUGCGUGGAGAUCAAGAGGAACACUCGUGGCGAAAGCGAGCUACUGGACAAUAUCUGACGCUGAGGCUCGAAGGCCAGGGUAGCGAAAGGGAUUAGAUACCCCGGUAGUCCCUGUCUCUUAUAA
rnacentral:rRNA from 1 species